UUUUUUUUUUUUUUUUUUUAAUCCAAGAAAGGUACAAGAUAAAGUCAAGGAAAUUUCCCAAAGAAUAAAACUGAGAAAGAAAAAUUGAUUUUUUUAAAAAGAUAGGAAAAGAUAAUCCAGAAGGCCUAAUAGCUAACUAAUAAAGAGAGAAACCCACAACAGCUAAGAUGAAACUAAAGAAAUCAAACUUUUAGCACAAAAAAUAUCAGUUUUCAACAUGAAAUUAGUUCCACUCCAAGGCACAUUGUCAUGAAUUUCAAAAAUCCUGAGAGGUUCUUGUGAAGAAAACACAAAACGAAACAGAACAGAGAAGUAAAAGGAGAAUCAGGUGGCAUUGAACUGGUGCUUUCACAAUCAUCGAGAAGGAGGAAGAAGUGCAACCCAGGAACAAGAAAUCCAACGGAGAAAAGCAGAGGCAGGGAGAGUCAGAGGGCCAGCACAUAGAUGGGAGCAGAAGGGUGGACAGAAGGGUAAAAGCGUGUGAGCACAACAUACAUGAUGCAGGUCUCAAGUAUUUUCAUCAUUUUGUGCAUUUGAAAUUUGAAAUAGUCAUUAAUAAUCUAGAAUCUAUGGAAAUUAAUUUCUGCUAAAAAAUUGAAAACCUAGAAAGCAACAUUUAUAUAUAAUCAUGAUUUAAACAUCAUGUUGAUUUCCCUAAAAUAAGUUGAAUCAAUGCAUUGAGAAGAGAGUGGAAAGGAAGUCCUGUGAUUAGUGUGCCUGUCCUUCAUCCUACGUAAGUAUCAUAGUAAGAAGUUAAUAGAUGAGGUUGAAAAUUAAUUGAGAUAAUAUAAACAUGUUAAAUUAAAAAUAAGGUGGUUACCAACAGAUGACACUUGAACUUUGUUCUCUCUUCAAUGUGACUAUUGCGUAGAGAGAUGUGGAGCAGGCUGUUGUGAUUCUGUUGCUCUUGCAAGUCUCAUAAUACAAUUUGAUUGCUAGAUCAUGAGUUUCUAUUUUUAAGAAUCAAAGCAAUUCCAAGAAGUAGAACACUUUGUAGUGCUCUAAAACUGCUUCAACUAUUUUAAAAAUAGAGUACACUGAUCAUUAUACAGAGAGGGCCCCUGCCCAAAUAUUUUCUAUAAAAUUUUUUUAAAAAGAAAUAUUUGUUCAGUGUUACAUAUGACAUGCAUUUGAAAGGAAAACCAUCUCCCAACAGUAUUAAUUUCAAAGAGCCCAGAAGAUGCUUUUGUAGUUUUUGUGUCUCUCAAAAUAAUUGCUUUAAAAAGUUAAGAUUCACUGAGAGAAAUGUGAAGCUAGAGUUUUGUAGCUUUCCAUACAAGGGUAGGAACACCAUAGAUUCCUCUAACCUUUGUAAAACCAGUUGUUUCUAAUGUUAAAAAUAUAUUUGAAACUGAAGCACAUCCUAGUCCUGCUGUCAACUCCCACCCAGAGUAGAUGCUAAUGAUCUCCACUACUAAUGAUAAAACGUCAAUUUCCAUAGGUCUAAUACGUUCACAAUAAUUUCCACAUUCCCAGUACUGAGUAGCAAUAUCUUUGGCUUCAGCAACUGGUAUUUACUGGUCUGUACUCCAGAUGGUGGUAUUUAACUGUUAUAGCAUAUUGCAAUAACAAUGAAAAAAGUACUUCAUCUUCUAUCUAAGAUAUAAUAAGAAAUUUAAUGUAAAGAUCACUUGUUCUUUCAUAUAAAAGAACAACUGCUCAAGUGAUACUUAAAAUGUGCAUAAGUUAUUUUCAUUAAGAUUUUUAAAAAUUGUCUUAAGAGGCAUUUUUGUAUAUUUACCAUCUACUAUUAUUAAGGUCCGAGUUUAAUAAUCUAAUCUAGAGCAUCUGUCAUAGCUCUAUGGGAACUGCUGAUGUUUUUUGUGUUUGAAGUCUCAUAUUUGGUAUAAAACACUGAAGGAGAUUCUAUAUUAUAUAAUGGAUACUUGAAGGAGAUUAAUUUACCUUUUGAACAACCAGAAAGUUAGCUGCUUCACCUCACACUAUUUUUUUAAAAAAGCAUUAUUUUAAUUUUUUUAUUAUUACAUAGAAAUAUUGUGUUUUCUCUUUUCAGUUCUCAUUUCCCCAUUCCACAAAUAUCCAGCAGGUGACAACACUAACCACAUUUUUUUAAGAACAUGCUUUCAGAGCUCCUGGAUGGCUCAGUCAACGAAGUGUCUAGCUCCUGAUUUCAGCUCAGGUCGCGAGAUCAUGGUUGUGAGUUUGAGACUUGCCUGGUUCCACGUGGAGUCCACCUGGGAUACCCUCUCUCCCUCUCCCACUGCCCCUACCCUCCUUCAAUAUGAAUAAAUCUUUAAAAAAGAUAAUGAUUACUGAAUCAUACAGUAUCAUAAAAUUUGCAUUUUAACCUAUACCUUUUCAGUAUCAUGUCAUCAUGAACUUGAGUUUCUGUUUAGUAUAAAUGGUAAAAGUUUUUGUAAUAUACCAAGAUUAAUUUUGAUAAUUCCAAGUACUGUUGAUUUGUAACCUUGAGACCAAUAAUAUUUUCUCUGGAAAUUAAAUGUAUUUAAAAGUUGUAAGAAAAAGUUUUAAGUUUUGUAUUUUAUAUGCUUUAGGAGGUAAGUUUUGCUUAAAAACUCACACUGCUC
rnacentral:lncRNA from 1 species